GCACCACCUUGACAUGGUGGGGGUCGGUAGUUCGAGUCUACUCGGACGCACCA
rnacentral:tRNA from 1 species